GAUGAAGAACGUAGCGAAAUGCGAUACGUAAUGUGAAUUGCAGAAUUCAGUGAAUCAUCGAGUCUUUGAACGCACAUUGCGCCCCCUGGUAUUCCGGGGGGCAUGCCUGUCCGAGCGUCAUUGCUGCCCUCAAGCACGGCUUGUGUGUUGGGCCUCCGUCCUCCUCCCGGGGGACGGGCCCGAAAGGCAGCGGCGGCACCGCGUCCGGUCCUCGAGCGUAUGGGGCUUCGUCACCCGCUCUUGUAGGCCCGGCCGGCGCUUGCCGACACAUCAAUCUUUUUUCCAGGUUGACCUCGGAUCAGGUAGGGAUACCCGCUGAACUUAAGCAUAUCAAUAAGCGGAGUA
rnacentral:misc_RNA from 1 species